rnacentral:rRNA from 1 species
CGGACGGGUGAGUAACACGUGGAUAACCUACCUAUAAGACUGGGAUAACUUCGGGAAACCGGAGCUAAUACCGGAUAAUAUAUUGAACCGCAUGGUUCAAUAGUGAAAGACGGUUUUGCUGUCACUUAUAGAUGGAUCCGCGCCGCAUUAGCAGUUGGUAAGGUAACGGCUUACCAAGGCAACGAUGCGUAGCCGACCUGAGAGGGUGAUCGGCCACACUGGAACUGAGACACGGUCCAG